GUUGGGUGUAGCUUAAGAUGAUUUGGAUUUUUUUUAUUAUUUCUAAAAGUGAGUUAAAAAAGCACUCCGAUACAAUAUUGAAGGUGUAGCGGAGAGGUAGUAUAAUCCACGAUAUCUCCGCUGGGUAACAGGAACAACAAAGGAUAAUCCAGGGGAAUCAGCAUACAAUAAUCCAAACAGCACUGCAGUAACCCUUCCUUCCCAAGAACUAGACGACACAUAGGCUGGGAGUCAACCGAGGUCUUUUAAUUCAG